GAUGAACGCUAGCUACAGGCUUAACACAUGCAAGUCGAGGGACCGGCGCACGGGUGAGUAACACGUAUCCAACCUGCCCUUUACUCGGGGAUAGCCUUUCGAAAGUAAGAUUAAUACCCGAUGUAAAGGAUGGGGAUGCGUUCCAUUAGGUUGUUGGUGAGGUAACGGCCCACCAAGCCUUCGAUGGAUAGGGGUUCUGAGAGGAAGGUCCACGACAAUGGAACUGAGACAAGGUCCAAACUCGUAAGGGAGGCAGCAGUGAGGAAUAUUGGUCAAUGGGCGUUAGACUGAACCAGCCAAGUAGCGGGAAGGAUGAAGGCUUAUGGGUCGUAAACUUCUUUUAUAUAAGAAUAUGUAUUAUAUGAAUAAGGAUCGGCUAACUCCGUGCCAGCAGCCGCGGUAAUUC
rnacentral:rRNA from 1 species